rnacentral:rRNA from 1 species
UACGUAGGGCGCAAGCGUUGUCCGGAAUUAUUGGGCGUAAAGAGCUCGUAGGCGGUCUGUUACGUCCGCUGUGAAAACCCAGGGCUUAACCCUGGGCUUGCAGUGGAUACGGGUAGACUAGAGGCAGGUAGGGGAGAAUGGAAUUCCCGGUGUAGCGGUGAAAUGCGCAGAUAUCGGGAGGAACACCGGUGGCGAAGGCGGUUCUCGGGGCCAGAACUGACGCUGAGGAGCGAAAGCGUGGGGAGCGAACAGG